CAAGUCGAGCGGAAAGGCCCCUUCGGGGGUACUCGAGCGGCGGACGGCUGAGUAACGCGUAGGAAUGUACCCCAAACUGAGGGAUAAUUCACCGAAAGGUGGACUAAUACCGCAUGUGCUCUUCGGAGUAAAGCUUCGGCGGUUUGGGAACAGCCUGCGUCCGAUUAGGUUGUUGGUGAGGUAAUGGCUCACCAAGCCUACGAUCGGUAGCUGGUCUGAGAGGAUGAUCAGCCAGACUGGGACUGAGACACGGCCCAGACUCCUACGGGAGGCAGCAGUAGGGAAUUUUCCACAAUGGGCGAAAGCCUGAUGGAGCAACACCGCGUGCAGGAUGAAGGCUUUCGGGUCGUAAACUGCUUUUACUAGUGACGAAUAUGACGGUAACUAGAGAAUAAGGAUCGGCUAACUACGUGCCAGCAGCCGCGGUCAUACGUAGGAUCCAAGCAUUAUCCGGAAUUACUGGGCGUAAAGAGUUGCGUAGGUGGCAUUGCAAGCAGAACAUGAAAUCGUGUGGCUCAACUAUACGGCUAUGUUCUGAACUGCAAAGCUAGAGAACAAGAGGGGUAGAUGGAAUUACUAGUGUAGGAGUGAAAUCCGUAGAUAUUAGUAGGAACACCGAUAGCGUAGGCAGUCUACUGGCUUGUUUCUGACACUAAGGCACGAAAGCGUGGGGAGCAAACGGGAUUAGAUACCCCGGUAGUCCACGCCGUAAACUAUGGAUGCUAGCUGUGAGUCGUAUCGACCCGACUCGUAGCGAAGCUAACGCGUUAAGCAUCCCGCCUGUGGAGUACGAACGCAAGUUUAAACAUAAAGGAAUUGACGG
rnacentral:rRNA from 1 species